rnacentral:rRNA from 1 species
UACCUGCUCUGAGAGGAUGUCCACCCCCACUGGAACUGAGCCACGGUCCAGAUUCUUCCGGGAGCCACCAGUGGGGAAUAUUGCCCAAUGGGGACAAUCCUGAUGCACCCAUACCGCGUGUAUGAAGAAGCCCUUCGGGUUGUAAAGUCCUUUCAGCGGGGAGGAGAUGGACGUUACCCGCAGAAGAAGCACCGGUUAACUCCGUCCCACCAACCCCGGUAAUUCGGAGGGGCCAAGCGUUAAUCGGAAUUUCUGGGCGUAAAGCCCACCCAGGCGGUCUGUCAAUUCGGAUGUGAAAUCCCCGGGCUCAACCUGGGAACUCCAUUCGAAACUGGCAGGUUAGAGUCAGGUAGAGGGGGGUAGAAUUCCAGGGGUAGCGGGGAAAUGCGUAGAGAUCUGGAGGAAUCCCGGUGGGGAAGGCGGCCUCCUGGCCAAAGCCUGCCGCUCAGGUGGGAAAGCGUGGGGACCAACCAGGAUUAAAUCCCCUGGUAGUCCCCCCCGUAACCGAUGUCGACUUGGAGGUUGUGCC